rnacentral:misc_RNA from 1 species
GAUGAAGAACGUAGCGAAAUGCGAUACUUGGUGUGAAUUGCAGAAUCCCGUGAACCAUCGAGUCUUUGAACGCAAGUUGCGCCCGAAGCCAUCAGGUUGAGGGCACGUCUGCCUCGGCGUCACAUAUCGUUGCCCAAUGCCUAUUGCAGUGCAAUAGGAAUUUCUAGGGCGAAUGAUGGCUUCCCGUGAGCGUUGUUGCCUCGCGGUUGGUUGAAAAUCGAGUCCUUGGUAGGGUGUGCCAUGGUAGAUGGUGGUCGAGUUAGAACGAUACCGAUCAUGUGCAUGCUCCCCAAAAUAUGGCCUCUAUGACCCACACGCGUCUUUUGACGCUCAUGACGAGACCUCAGGUCAGGCGGGGCUACCCGCUGAAUUUAAGCAUAUCAAUAAGCGGAGGA